CCAGGAAGGGACGUUCGGCGGUUUUCGUCUCUGUGUGAUUUGUGCGGGAGGCCCUCUGGGCGUCCCGGCAUCCCUGGGCGGGGGGAGAGGCGGGUGGGAGCAUCCCACAGCCGCCCAGGUGCGGGGCGGACGGCGGACUCGGGCGGGGACUGCGGUCUGGGCGGUGACCUGUGGGACCUGACGGCGUCCAGCUGCCGGAUCGCGGGUGGAGACGCCGGCUGCCACGGGGUGGGCUCCUGCGCCCUGGGACUCGGGGCUUGCGGUCAAGGAGGUCUCACGAUGCCGGGGAGUGGGAAGCGCUCGGGGCUGGCGGAGGAGGCAACUGCCCCUCUGUAAGUGGGACUCGGUGUCCUACCGGGAUACUCCGUCCUGACGAGUGCUUCGAGCCUUGUUUGGGGCUCCUGGCCUCCCUGCUGGACUGAUCUUCGCUCACAUAGCCCAGGUGUCAUAGUAAUGAUUAACAAUAAAUAAAAGUGAUGAACAAUGACUGUCACUGUGCGUUAGACCUGGGGUGGGUACUCAGGUGUAUCCGCAGGAACAGGCUUGAGAGUGAUUGAGUUGUGUGUCUAGCGUCAUUUAGGAGAAGUGGGUUAGCCGGGAUCUGUUCCCCACCAGGCUGCCAAAGCAGUUCCUAUAAAAUUCCGUUGUAGUGCACUUAACCGUAUCGCAUCAUAAUUUCGGGAUAAAAACUGGGUUUUAUUAUUAUUAUUAUUAUUAUUAUUAUAUUAAUAUAAUAUAUACUAUUAUUUCAUGUCCAAAUGGGAGGUAAGAAUUGGGACCCGUUAGCCUCUAUCCCUAAUGCUUAGCACAAGGCCUGGCGCAUUGUAGAUCUUCUCAUUGGAGUGUCUUUCCUGAACAGUGGGGAUCCCCGUUUCCAGAACAGUUUGGAUCAGCUGUGAGGAACUGGGUUGCUUUCCCCAGACCACAGAUCAGAACCCCAUUGGCUGUUUUCCUUCCAUCACCAGUUAAAGUCUCUAUAUAUUACCAGUCGAAGACCUUGUCUUCCGGGUGAUUGAUUAGUCAUUCAAGUAAACAUGGGCUCCAAAGGCUAUAUCCCAAGUGAUUCUGUUCAGUUUUUUUAUCCUGACCUUUCAAUUUCCUUUCCCCAAUUACGGAUAUCUCUUGGGGAAGACAUUAUUGCUCUUAUACUCAUUUUCGUGUGAAGUGUGUCAAGUCUGUGUGUCAUCUUCCCAACCUGAGGGGUCAGCUCCUUGAGAAUGAGGUGCCUGCCGCCUGAUUCCUCGUUCCUCCCCUCGACCACAGCAGACGCGGAGUUCGUGUCUGCUAAUGGCUCAUUUCAUUCCAGUUCCGCAGCCAGACUAGCGAGUUCCAAGCCAUGAGCACAAUUUGCAAUUGUGUCCUGUGAGAUGGACGGGAACACGUGAUGCCAGUUGGGCAGGGACCACAAAUGACUCAGAUUCUGAAGCAGUUUGUUCUCCUGGUGGUGAUUCCUAAAGUCUCUAGGAAGCUUGUGGGGGCGCCCAGGACUCUGCAUUCACUGUUGCACUUGGAAUGCGAGGAGAAUCAGAGAAGGAGAAUGACAGCUCUUUGAGAACAGGAGCUCCCUCCCUCCUGGUCACCACGGCAUCCCUGUGGCCUGGCAAGGCCUGAAGGACAUGACGAGAGGAUCCAGGGUGAGCGCGAAUCAGGGCUGCAGAGGAAGGGGGUGUGCCGGGGCCAGACUGUGCAGGACAGGAGAAGUUAGAAGAGGAACCCAAGGCAGAGAGGUCAAGCUUUGUCCCCAAGAUCUCUUGGCGUCCCAGAGAGGGAAGCCCCUUUGACAAUGACCGUCCUCACUCUGGAGCCGGGACGCGACUCCCGCGUGAAAAGGUUCACAAGGGACCAGCCCCCUGGGAGCACUGUUCUGGGAGCACUAUUCUGACCACAACAGGUGGCACAAAGUGAGUCUGACAGGAGCUUCAUGGCUCGAGAAUCCUGGCAGGUGUACAGGUGUCCCCCAAGUGACAGGCGACAUCUGGAGACCUGACGGAGUGCCAGGCCCCACAGGGAGAUGCCCUGCGAGCUAGGUCUUCAAAGGAACCCCAGCCCAAGCUUAAAUCCAUCAUGCCUGAGCAAAUGUGUCCUUCUUGGGAAGUACCUGUUCUGUUUAAAUGCCUUCUAUAUGCAAAGUUUGUCCUUUUAGCUAUUUUGUUAAAUGUUCAUAAUGGAUAAACUUCGAAAACUG